rnacentral:rRNA from 1 species
GACGAACCGCCCUAACGUUGUUCGGAAUCACUGGGCUUAAAGGGCGCGUAGGCGGCUUGCCAAGUCAGGGGUGAAAUCCUGCAGCUUAACUGUAGAAGGGCCUUUGAUACUGGCGAGCUCGAGGGAGGUAGGGGUAUGUGGAACUUCCGGUGGAGCGGUGAAAUGCGUUGAUAUCGGAAGGAACGCCGGUGGCGAAAGCGACGUACUGGACCUCUUCUGACGCUGAGGCGCGAAAGCUAGGGGAGCAAACGGG